rnacentral:misc_RNA from 1 species
GAUGAAGAACGUAGCGAAAUGCGAUAAGUAAUGUGAAUUGCAGAAUUCAGUGAAUCAUCGAAUCUUUGAACGCACAUUGCGCCCGCCAGUAUUCUGGCGGGCAUGCCUGUUCGAGCGUCAUUACAACCCUCAGGCCCCCGGGCCUGGCGUUGGGGAUCGGCGGAGCCCCCCGUGGGCACACGCCGUCCCCCAAAUGCAGUGGCGGUCCCGCCGCAGCUUCCAUCGCGUAGUAGCUAACACCUCGCGACUGGAGAGCGGCGCGGCCACGCCGUAAAACACCCAACUCUUCUGAAGUUGACCUCGAAUCAGGUAGGAAUACCCGCUGAACUUAAGCAUAUCAAUAAGCGGA